GCGGCUGCAUGGUGGACCCAUGCCAGUACUCCAGUAGCUGUACUGACCUGACGACCCUGUACCAGUGUGACUGUGUCAAUGGAUCGGGAGGAGCUCACUGCGAGACGGAUGUCGUCGAUAGCUGUGCUAACAACAGCUGUGUACACGGUACCUGCGUGGAUCAGCUGGAGUCGUACAAUUGUACAUGUGCUGAAGGAUACAACGGUAGACACUGUGACACAGAUAUCGACGACUGUGCAACGAACCCAUGUGUCAACGGUACCUGUGUCGACCACGUCAACAACUACACCUGUGACUGUGCACCUGGGUACACAGACUGGAACUGCAGCACAGAUAUUGACGACUGUGCAACGAAACCAUGUGUCAACGGUACCUGUGUCGACCACGUCAACAACUACACCUGUGACUGUGACCCUGGGUACACAGACCGGAACUGCAGCACAGAUAUCGACGAGUGCGCAACGAGCCCAUGUGUACACGGCAGCUGUGUCGAUCACGUCAACAACUACACCUGUGACUGUGACUCUGGGUACACAGACCAGAACUGCAGCACAGAUAUCGAAGACUGUGCACCAAACCCAUGUGUCAACGGUACCUGUGUCGACCACGUCAACAACUACACCUGUCACUGUGACCCUGGGUAUACAGGCCGGAAUUGCAGCUCAGACAUCGACGAGUGUGCAACGAAGCCAUGUGUCAACGGUACCUGUGUCGACCACGUCAACAACUACACCUGUGACUGUAAACCUGGGUACACAGACCGGAACUGCAGCACAGAUAUCGACGACUGCGCAAAGAGUCCAUGUGUCAACGGUGCCUGUGUCGACCACGUGAACAACUACACCUGUGACUGUGUACCUGGAUACACAGACCGGAACUGCAGCACAGAUAUUGACGACUGCGCCAGUAGCCCAUGUGUCAACAAUGGCACCUGUGUUGACAUGCCCAAUGGGUACAGAUGUACUUGUCCUGGUGGCAUCAAUGGCACAGAUUGCGAAAUAGGCGGUGAUCCUUGUGUGAGGAAUCCCUGCCAGAACAACGGGACUUGUAUUGCUAGAGGCAGUGGUUUCAACUGUUCCUGCCAGGAUGGGUAUGAGGGAGACAUCUGCCAGACAGAUAACUUUAUCCGACCAACCACUAUCAACACUGCCCUUCCGACCAACAUUAAAGCAUUUCAUAAAAAGGCAGAAAAUGGUCCUAAUGGGGAAACUCAAUUCGUAAGAGGCACUGUCUCAGCCUGGCCAUACAAGUCCGAGGAUAUGGAGUUCCUGGAAGACUGUGUUAUCACGUGCAAGCAGGAUGUGAAAUGUGCCUCUGUGAUCUACAUGGACACUGCAUCUACCUCACGUCGCUGCAUUCGCCUUCAAGAUACUCCAACAGGUUAAUACAACUGCAAACGUACCACGACAUACCCCUGAUGGCAUUAAUACAGUCCCUAAGAGUAAAUUCAAAACAAUGGUAAAACUGAUCAUUUGGGUUCACAUCCAGAAGUCUAUGACAUAAAUUCUUUGAAAUAUUUUUAUGCUUCUCAUUUAGAUAUUUGUAAGUUACUACAAGUAUAUCUUUCGCUCCUUAUUGUUUUUUAGUCUAACUGUAAAACAUAUUGUAUUUUAUCCAGUGCUAUACUGUAGCCUUAGCUGGUAUAUCGUCGUUUAAUGAACUUUUAAUAAUUCGUUUUACUUUAUACCGGUUCAGAAAUGUGUCCUUUUAAAGAAAGUACUUAUAACAUAUGAUAAUAUCUGUGUGAACUUGUGAGAUAGAACAUUGUUUAUUUUAGCCAGAUAUCAUGGAUAUUCAAAUUGCCAGAACGAUGUUUCAAAUGUAAACCGAUGUGUGUACAGUUGCACACACUAUUACCAAGAUGGGAAAUGUAGCGUCUUCAGAUCAAGCUCCUUUCAUAAUGAAUAUUUCAAAGAGUGAUAAUCCCAGAAUGUUACAUCAAAAGGAUAAUGUUGACCUGAAACAGAGUUUUCAGUGUUACUGAUUAUUUACGUUAUGAGAUGAAUUUUGCAAAAUCAGUUUGAUAUUAUUACUAUAAUUUUGGCUAAUUUGACCUGUCUAAAGUUUUGGUAAUAUAUAAAAUAUGUUUCAUCAAUAUCAGUAACUUCAUAGAUUAUUCACUAUUGACAGUUGGAACAAUGACCUCCUGUUUUGUAUAUCGUAUGAUCCAUAGUGACUGUAUUAUCCAGCUAUAAUUUAACUCCUUACUGCAUUACACACUGUUGCCUCUAACUCGAGUCUUCAAACUGCUCUACCCAUCGAAGUCUUUUACUCGGGUCUCCAUACAUACUGUAUUACGCACUGUUGCCUCUAACGCGAGUCUUUAACUGCUCUACCCAUCGAAGUCUUUUACUCGGGUCUCCAUAGUGUAUUACGCAAUAUUGCCUCCAACUGGAGUGUUUAUAUACUGCUUUACCCAUCGAAGUCUUUUACUCGGGUCUGUAUUACACUGCUGCCUCAAACUCGGGUCUUAUAGGGUCUCCUUCGUCACGAUAUGGCUGAGAUAUUGCCGAUGUGACGUUAAAUAUUAACUCAUUCAAUUAUAGGGUCUCCAAUAAGUUUUUGAUUCUCCAUACUGUAUUACACACUGUUGCUUCUAACAUGGGUUAUUAUACUGCCUUACCCAUCGAAGUUCCCUUGUUAGGUCUCUACGCACAAUUACCAGGUCUCCAUCCUGUUUUACGCACUAUUACGGGUCUCGAUCCUGUUUUACGCACUAUUACCGGGUCUCCAUCCUGUUUUACGCACUAUUACCAGGUCUCCAUCCUGUUUUACGCACUAUUACCAGGUCUCCAUCCUGUUUUACGCACUAUUACCAGGUCGCCAUCCUGUUUUACGCACUAUUACCAGGUCUCCAUCCUGUUUUACGCACUAUUGCCGGGUCUCCAUCCUGUUUUAGGCACUAUGACCAGGUCUCCAUCCUGUUUUACGCACUAUUACCGGGUCUCAUCCUGUUUUACGCACUAUUACCAGGUCUCCAUCCUGUUUUAGGCACUAUUACCGGGUCUCCAUCCUGUUUUAGGCACUAUUACCAGGUCUCCAUCCUAUUUUAGGCACUAUUACCAGGUCUCCAUCCUGUUUUAGGCACUAUUACCAGGUCUCCAUCCUGUUUUAGGCACUAUUACCAGGUCUCCAUCCUGUUUUACGCACUAUUACCAGGUCUCCAUCCUGUUUUACGCACUAUUACCAGGUAUCCAUACUACAAUGACCAACAAAGUCUUUUACUGAUGUCAAUUCAGUCUAUCACUCAUUAUGGCUCUUAUCAGAUCAUCAGAGGCAUUAUAUAAAACCAACUCUCUUUUCUUGGUAUUUGCUUUAUUAUAUCAUUUGAUUAAGUAAGAAAUAUAGCCACAGAAAAGUCUAUUUCAUGACUAAUUGGUAAGCAUAACGUUUUUCGUCCCUGACAGUGAAAAUGUAAACUAAUGAUAACUAACAUUGCUACCAUAGGCAGUAUUUCUGUUACACCCGAUCGAAUUCAGGGAUUAUAACGACAGUAAACAUGGCAUAUUUCAGUAAUAUCGAAUUCAUGAAAGCAUACCAUUUUUCAUUCAAAAUAUGUUUUGACGACAGUAAACAUGGUAAAUAUGUACAGGUAACCGAUGAAAGAAAUACCCAGUUGUCUGUUGUUUAUAUUUACAUGCCAUAGAUAUUGUCUACAUACUUAU
rnacentral:misc_RNA from 1 species